rnacentral:misc_RNA from 1 species
GUGAAUCAUCAAAUUUUUGAACGCAAAUUGCACUCUCUGGUAUUCCGGGGAGUAUGCUUGCUUGAGGGUUAGUUUGUUCCAAUCUUAAAAAGAAAUUUUUACGGAUCUUGAUUUUCCAACAGUUAGAUUUUUUGUAAUCUAAAAUUUAUCAUAACAUAUGGUUAUAUUGGAAAUGGUUAUUUUUGAUUCA